UAAACCAAAUGCUGAAUGUUCUCUCUGCUAUAUGGAUACUAACACACAAUAAGAGUGGCUUAUGUUUGAAACUGUACUCAGAAACAUUUUGAGAAGAUCUAUGUUUUAUGGAGUAAGUUAGUUUUUAAAAACAGGAAGGCAGAAGAAGUUGGAUAUAUGUCAUGAAACAGGUUUUGAUGCCUUGAAUGCCCUGAUGGAUAAACUCCAUCUGAGUCUGACUCCUAGAAAACCUAAAUCAUGACAACAAUUUUAUGACAUCUUUAGCUUUGGGAACAAAGCCAUCAACACAGAAUUUUAUGUGAAGGAAAAUUCUCUGUUAAACGGGAAAGCAAAGAUAUUCCCAGAAUUAUCAAGGUCACGAAAAUAAAGGAAAGAUUAAAGAACUAUUAAGGAACUAAAAUCUAUGCCAGAUUGGAGGAAAUUUAAAAUAUAUGGCAAACAAAUGCAACAUGUGAUUAUGAACUGCUCCUUUUGUUAUUAAAGACAGUUUUGAGACAACUGAUGAAAUUUAAAUGGGUAGAAGGAUUAAAUAUAUUAAUGGUAAUUUCUUGAUUCUGAUGGUGUUAGUGUGACCAUGCAGGAAAAUGUCUUUGUCCAAGGAAAUUUAUACAAGUAUUUUCCAGUAAAGCUGGUGGUUUUUUAGCUUUCUCUUGUUUGCUAAGUAACUUACAAUUCCACCAUCUGUUUUCCAGUUUCCAAUUUUUAUUUUUUGGUUUAUUUUAAUCAGUGCUCCUUAUCUAUUGUUUUCCUUUCAUGCUCUCUCUUGUUUUUUUUUUUUUUGUGGUUAUGUAUUUUCAGUCCUUUAAUAUUUUUUGUUUGGUUUCAGGAAUGAGUAGACAAAAAUGCUUCUAUUUAAUCUAGAAGAAAAACUAGAAAUCCCUCUGUGGUUUCCUAAAAGGUAGUGAGAUUUGGAGAGGUAGAGUGGAAAGAGGGUAUCAUAACAGAAGAAAAGCAGCAGCUAGAGAGAGGAGACAAAUACAAAAUACCUAGAUAUCAUUAUUUAAACGCAAUCUUACUACUUUAUAUUCUUAUAUAUGAAUCCCUAAUUAGCAUUCCUAUUUAAUUACUCUGCAGAGAAGGUAAAAAAUUUUUGCUCAAACCCAUGUGGAUUAUUAUAAAGUAAUCUGUGCAUUACUGCUGCUUAAAAGUCAGUUCUCAACAAAAGAUUAGCAUAUCAAAUCCAAGAAUGUAUAAAAAGUACACUAUGUACGUGAAGGAUUUAUUCCAGGUGUGCAAGCUAAUUUAAUUUUUAAAUCAAUCAACGUAAUUUAUCACAUGAACAAGCUAAAGAAGAAGUCAUGAUUAUAUCAACAGAUGCAGAAAAACAGUUUGACAAAAUCUAGCUCUCAUCCAUGAUAAAAACUCUCAACAAACUAGAAACAGAAGAGACUUAAUCUAGAAUAUCUACAAAACCCACAGCUAACAUCAUACUUAAUGUUGAGAAGCUAGUGGCUUUCCCACUAAGAUCAGGAACAAGUCUAGUAUGUCUGCACUCACCACUCCUGUUUAACAUUGUCCUGGAAAUUCUAGUUAAUGCCAAGACAAGAAAAUGAACUUAAAGGUCUACAGAUUGGGAGGCAAAAAGUAAAACUGGCUUUGUUGGCAGAUGACAUGAUUGUUGAUAGAGAAAUCCCAAAGAAUCAACAACAAAAACUGGAACUAAUAAGUGAUUAUAGUAAGGUUGCAGGAUAUAAGGUUAAUAUACAAAGUCAACUGUGUUCUUACUAGCAAUGAACAAGUGGAAUUUUAAAUACAUAAAAAACAUUUACAUUUGUGCCUGAAAGUGUAAUACUUAGCUAUAUAUUUAAGAAAACAUGCAUAAAUUCUAUAAUAGGAAAACUACAAAAUUCUGAUGAAAGAAAUGAAAGAUCAAUUAGAUUAGAUCAAUAGAGGACAUUUUAUGCACAUAAAUAGGAAGGCUCAUCAUUGUCAAGCUGUCAUUUUUUUCUGACUUUUGAACUAUAGACACAAUGCAUUCCUAAAGAAUAGAGAACACAGAAAUAGAUCCACACAGCUUCAGCAAAGGAGUAAAAGCAAUUUGAUGGAGAAAGAACAAUUUUUUCAACAGAUGGUACUGGAACAACUGGACAUCUACGUGCAAAACCAAAAAGUCAUUCUAGACAUUUUUCACACUUUUUACAAAAGUUAGCUCAAAAUGAAUCAUGGACCUAAACAUAAAACACAAAACUAUAAAACUUCUAGACAGUAAUAUUGAAGAAAAUCUAAGUGAUCCUGGGUUUGUAAGAACUUUUCAGACACGACGCCAAAAGCAAAAUCCAUGAAAGAAAAAACUUGUAAGUUGAACUUCAUUAAAAGUUUGAAAAAAAAAAGGCUGGGGUCAUAGCUUAGUGGUAGAGCGCUUGCCUAGCACAUAUGGGGUACUGGGUUCGAUCCUUGGCACCACAUAAAAAUAAAGGUAUUGUGCCCAUCUACAACGAAUUUUUUUAAGUUAAAAAAAAAACCUCGUUUUGUAAAAGACAGCUUCAGACAAUGAAAUGACAAGGCAUAUACUGAGAGUAAAAAACCUUUGCAUAUACCUAUCUAAUCAAAACCUGAUAUUCGAAAUGUAUAUAGAACUCUUAAAACAAGAAAACAAUCUGAAUGAAAAAUAGGAAAAAGACCUGAACAGCUCACCAAAGAAAACACAGAUGACAAGCAUUUGAAGAGAUGUUCAACAUUAUAUGUAAUUAAGGAAUUACAAAUUUAGAUAACAAUGAGAUUAUUCUACACAUCUACUACACUAGCAGCACCAAAUCUGGUGAGGACAUAGAGCAACAGAAACUCUCAUUUAUUGUUGGUUAAAAUAGAAAAUAACAUGGCCACUUUAAAAGACAAUUUGGCAGUUUGUUACACACUAAACAUUCUUAACAUAUGAUCCAGCAACCAUACUCCAAUGAGUUAAAAAUUUAUAUCCACAUAAAAAUCUGUACACAAAUAUUUGUAACUGUUUGUCAAAACUUGGAAAAAACCAAGAUGUCCUUCAACAGGUGAAUGAAUAAACCUGUGAUAUAACCAUAAAAUGGGAUAUUAUUCAACGAUGGAAGGAAAUGAGCUGUUAAGCCUCACACCCCACAAAACAGAACUUCAGUUACAUACCACUAAGUCAAAGAAGCCAAUCUGAAAAGUUCGCUGUAUAAUUCCAACUAUCUGACAUUCUAGAAAAGGCAAAAGUACGAAGACAAAAAGAUCCAUGGUUGCCGAGGGAAAGAUGGGUGAAUGGGUGGACCACUGCGGAUUUUAGGGCAGUAAGACUGCCAUAUAUGAUAUGGGUGCGUGAAGUUAUACACUUGUCAAAACCCAUAAAAUAUGCAAAAAAAUGUAGUUUACCUGAAUGUAAACUACAGAUUUAGUUAAUAAUGUAUUCAUAUUGGCUUUAUUAUAGAAUGUGUACUACACUAAUGCAAGAUGUUAAUAGGGAAAAUGGAAACAGGGUAAGAGGAACUCUAAUUUCUGCUUAUUUUUCUGUAAAGCUCAAACUGCUCUAAAAUAUAGUAUUAAAUAAAAAUUUUAAUAGAAUAAAUUAAAAAUCAAUUUUAUGGGGAACUUUUUGCAGUAAUAGAAAUGUCUAUACCUUGACCAGUUGGUAAUUAUAUAUAUAUAUAUGUAUACAUUCAUCAAAAUUCAUUUAUUUAUACACUUAAUACGUUUCACUAUGCAAGUUUACACUUCUUGGUAUGUAAAUUUUACCUCAGUAGUAGAGAUCAACUCUGUAUUGUCAUUUGUUGCUUAGUUUGGCUAUAGUCAACCAAAGGCAUCACUGAAAAUCUGAAAGGAAGCAGGACCCACCUAUAAUUUGAGUGUAUUUGGCCUUGAGGAGAAAUAAAGAGGCAUUGCCAUGUUCUUAAGUGACUCAAUAGUUGGAGAAUAUCUCUCUCAAAUGUAUUCUCUAGCAGAGCUGGUCUUCUUUCAGAUUAACUUACAUGCAGAGGGAAAAAUUCUAGUUCCAGGUUUCAUAUCUCAUAUCUUUUGUUAACAUCUCAUUAUAUCUUUUCUUUCAGAUUUAGUCAUAAGUGAAGUUAGAUCUGAACCCACACAUCAAAGAAAUAUUGGUAGAGAAGCUUUGUUGUGAGCUUGUUUUCGAAUGAGGUGGGAGGUCUGGUAGGCAGAGAGGUAAGGGAUUCAUGACAGCAUGAGCGGCCAUGGUGUGCAGAUGAAUGCUAGUAUGUGGGAGAGAAAGAGCUGACUGGCUCUGUGAGUGAAGGUUUGUAUUCAGAAGCUGUGAGAAAUAAGUCCUUAAAUGUAAGAAUGAGAAAUUUGGGUUUGGUCCCAUAAUCUGGGAGGAACUGGGAAAAGAUAUAUUUGACUCUCUCUCUCCCAUGCUCAGAGGUUCAGGGACCUUGACUUGUUUCAUGACUGUGAUGGCUAAUUUUAUAUGCCAAUUUUAGGCUGUGGUAUCCAGUUGUUGACUAAACACCAGUUUAAAUAUUAUGAAGGUGUUUUUAAAAUGUGACUAAUGUUCAAAUGAGAAGACUUUGGGUAAAGCAAAUUACCUUCCAUAAUGUAAGUGGGCCUCAUUCAAUCAGAUGAAGACCUUAAGAAAAGAAGACUGAGGCCCCUGAAGAGAAGGGAAUUCUGCUUCCAGACUGUCUUCAGACUUGCUUUUAACAUCAACUCUUCCCUGAGCCUGUUGGCCUGCCUUGCAGAUUUUAGACUUGCCAGCCCCUAUUACUCUCCUUAAAAUCUCAAUCAAUGUCCCUUCUUCUAUGUUUAUCCUAUUAGUUUUCUUUAUCUGGAGAAACUUGACUGAUACCAUGACUAAUUAUCCACUGCAAGCUCUAAUACCAUCUUGCCUCCUCCCUACCCUCAACCAAAAUCAGUGAAUCCUCAAUUUAUAGAGAAGUAGACAAUUUUACAUUAUUGUGUUAUUUAUGUGAAGUGGGGUCUUUGUAUAUCUCUUAAUAAUCAUAAUACUUUCAAAUCAAAAUAAAAG